rnacentral:rRNA from 1 species
CCGCAGCCUGAUGCAGCCAUGCCGCGUGUAUGAAGAAGGCCUUCGGGUUGUAAAGUACUUUCAGCGAGGAGGAAGGGGAUGUGGUUAAUAACCGCAUUCAUUGACGUUACUCGCAGAAGAAGCACCGGCUAACUCCGUGCCAGCAGCCGCGGUAAUACGGAGGGUGCAAGCGUUAAUCGGAAUUACUGGGCGUAAAGCGCACGCAGGCGGUC